GUACUUGCUUCAGCAGCACAUAUACUAAAAUUGGACCAAUAAAGAGAAGAUUAGCAUGGCCCCUGUGCAAGGAUGCAAUGCAAAAUUUGUGAAGCAUUUCAUAUUUUU